rfam:Nitrosospira multiformis ATCC 25196, complete genome.
GAAGCUGGCCAGACAGUCGCUGCCUGUCCUCGGUGACGAGUGCAGGGAGAGGAAAGUCCGGGCUCCGCAGAGCAGGAUGCCGGUUAACGGCCGGCCGCCGUAAGGUGAGGAACAGGGCCACAGAGACGAGCGUAUUAAGUUACGGUGAAACGCGGUAACCUCCAUCCGGAGCAAGACCAAAUAGGCAGGCGAUGAUGCUGCUCGCUGAGCCUGCGGGUAGGUUGCUUGAGCGUGCGGGUGACUGCACGCCUAGAGGAAUGACUGUCCUUGACAGAACCCGGCUUAUCGGCCAGCUUCUUUC